GUCAGAUCAUGGUGAGAGGACAGGUGGUUUCUAUGCUUGUAACCGUUAUGAAGCAGCCAAUAAAAAGGGAGUUAAGAGAAAUGGCCAAGCAUUCUAUGGAGAGAUACACUCAUUAUUAUGAAUGUUGGGCAAGAAAUCAGUUGUCGAGGCAAAAAGUUCUUGCGGAUUGGCAUCAAAUGUGAACUGUUAAUAUGGAGAAGCUUAGAGACAUACAGCGAGGACCUGAGUCUCAGCUCAAGUUCAUAGCUGAUACCUGGCAGGAGAGUGCUGAAAUGGACUUAUGCUUAUGGGUACUACCUACCUGAGAAUGAGCAUGCAAAGAGGCAAUUUUUUGAGUGCUUGCAAGGUGAGGCAGCGUCUGGUUUGGAAAGGCUUCAUCAGCGUGCAUUGUUAAAACCGCAGGAGGUUCCUGAGUGUGUGAGAUCUGUAUUUGAUG